rnacentral:rRNA from 1 species
AAGUCGUAACAAGGUCUCCGUAGGUGAACCUGCGGAGGGAUCAUUGAAGAGUUAGGGUCCCCGCGGCCCGACCUCCAACCCUUUGUUUACCAACCAUGUUGCCUCGGGGGCGACCCUGCCGUUCGCGGUCCGGGGCCCCCGGAGGCCCACCUAACGCUGCAUCCAUGCGUCCGAGUCUUUUAUUAAAUCAAAUAAAACUUUCAACAACGGAUCUCUUGGUUCUGGCAUCGAUGAAGAACGCAGCGAAAUGCGAUAAGUAAUGUGAAUUGCAGAAUUCAGUGAAUCAUCGAAUCUUUGAACGCACAUUGCGCCCCCUGGUAUUCCGGGGGGCAUGCCUGUUCGAGCGUCAUUACACCACUCAAGCCCCGCUUGGUAUUGGGCGCCGCGCCCGCCGCGCGCCUCAAAUGCAUCCGGCUGGGCCCAUCUCCCCCUAGCGUUGUGGCAUCUAAUUGUUUCGCUUGCGGGAUGGGUGGGCUCGCGCCGUCUAAACACCUCUUUUUACAUGGUUGACCUCGGAUCAGGUAGGGAUACCCGCUGAACUUAAGCAUAUCAAUAAGCGGAGGAAAAGAAACCAACAGGGAUUGCCCUAGUAACGGCGAGUGAAGCGGCAACAGCUCAAAUUUGAAAUCUGGCGUCUCCGGCGCCCGAGUUGUAAUUUGCAGAGGAUGCUCCUGGGUUGCCACCGGUCUAAGUUCCUUGGAACAGGACGUCGCAGAGGGGUGAGAAUCCCGUAUGUGACCGGCCUGGCACCCUCCACGUAGCUCCUUCGACGAGUCGAGUUGUUUGGGAAUGCAGCUCUAAAUGGGAGGUAAAUUUCNUUCNAAAGCUAAAUACCGGCCAGAGACCGAUAGCGCACAAGUAGAGUGAUCNGAAAGAUGAAAANGCACUUUGGAAAGAGAGUUAAAAAGCACGUGAAAUUGUUGAAAGGGAAGCGCUUUGCAACCAGACUUGGCCCGCGGCGUUCCGCCGGUCUUCUGACCGGUCUACUCGCCGCGUGCAGGCCAGCAUCACUUGGGGCCGCCGGAGAAAGGUCUUGGGAAUGUGGCUCCCUCGGGAGCGUUAUAGCCCAGGGCACAAUACGGCGUGCCCCGAGUGAGGUCCGCGCUUCGGCCAGGAUGCUGGCGUAAUGGUUGUAAGCGGCC